GCGCGCCGCCCGCUGCCGGGUCAGGGAAGCCGCAGUGCCCGCGGUCCCUUCCCCGCGCGGCGCGGCUCCGGGUAACUAAUGUUCCGAGGCGCCUGACUAAACCCUCCAAAUCCAAGGAAUGUCAGCGCUAACACUCGCGCCCUGGGCGGCAGACAAAUGCGUCCCAGCGGAGCCGCCGCGAGCUCCGCGCCGCCGCUCCCCUCGGCGUCGGCCUGAGCUAGCCGGCAGCCGGCGCGGGGCGGCCGGGCGCCGACACAAGUUAGUUUUCCGGCCCAAGCAGCCCUGCCGCAGCCAAGGAAGAGGAACUGCUCCUCUUCCCCCGGAUAGCGCCCGAGCACUGCCACAGCAGGGGCUUCCCCAGGCGCUGAGGGCUGGGGGCGGCGGGCAGGCGGGGCGGGGACGCCCCUCCGCCAUCUCCGGCCAACCGCCCCUCCCUCGCCCAGGGACGCGAGGGGGACCGGCGGUCCGGGCGAGGCCUCGGCCGCGCAUCGCACCCCGGCUCCCCGCCGCCGGAGUUGAGGGGGAGGCGCGCUCUCCGUAAGAGCCGGAGGCGGGGCGCCAUCGCCCUCCCACUCCCCGGCGGGCGGGCCGGGGGAGCCCGGGGCUGCGAACACCCCCAGACGGGCGGCUGCGGGAGGGGAGGCUGGACCAAGGGGCCUGGUCCACCGGACCAGCGGUGGCGGCAUCGGCAUCUCGCCUCCUUCAGGCCUGCACGCGCCACAGGCCGCAGCCUGGACCAACCCCGCGUCCCCGGGCCGUGAGCGCUGCGGUCCCGGCCCCCCAGAGCGGGACGCCGGGCGGCCGCAGCCCCCCGGACCCGGCUCUCCGCCCGCUCCGCCCGCAGUCCCGGCGCGGAGAGCGGCCGCCCGAGCCGCUGCCGCGGCAGCGCGGGUGUCGGCGACGGAGCCCGGGGCGGGGAAGAGCGGAGGAAGGGGCGGCGAGGGGGCGGGCCGGCGGCGGCCAGGGAGGUCGGAGUGCGCGGGGCUCGGCACCCCCUCGGCCCGCGCUGCGCCAGCACCACCUGCGGAGCUGCGGUGCCCACGCCGUGCCGCGACCCCGCCGCCCCUGCUCCCUCCACACGCGGGCAAACAAAACAAGUUGCCGGUCGCUGCCGCCGGAGGGGGCCGGGCGGGUCACUCACCCUCAUCCUGCUCAGCGGGCUUGGGUCGUCCGGCCGCGGGGUCAGGGAAGACCAGAGGACCACUAGCCCCAGGAAGCUUCCCACCACCAGCAAACUGCGUGGUGAAUUUGUAACCGAAAGGCCCAGGUGAGAUGUGCAAAUAUCACUGGAUUGGAGGAGCUCACUUGGAAAGCCAGUAUUCCUCCUGAGCUAAUGAAAAGAAAGGCUGUCGUCUUAUGCCAAAAGCAAUACCAACCUUGUUCACGGGCUGAGAUCUAGAGUGUGUAAUUCACGAAGUAUGAAUCUGCUGGGUAAUGUGAUAUGAAAAGCGAAUGCACCAUUUCUUGGUGAUGAUUCAGGUCAGCGUUGGGACCCAGGAAUCUCCUGUUAAUCAGUACCCUGGUGAUUUUGAUCCAGAGACGGGGUCUAUUAUCUGGUCCUGUUGUCAAGGCUGGUCUCAAACUCCUGGCCUCCAGCGAUCCUCCCUUUUUGGCCUCCCAAGAUGCUGGUAUUACAGGCAUGAGCCACCAUGGUCCACCCGGACUCCUUUUCAUAGGAGACAGUUCCCUAGGCAGAGACUGGGCUUGAAACAGUUCCUCUAAAGAAGAGGGUAGAGACUAGAACUGAAUGAGAUGGACAUAGAGAUGGCCAAGAAAAGCAUCGUCCUCUGCCAAGUCAUGGGGUCAUGUGUGGUGGAUGGUGACAUGGUGUCCUCAGCUCAGAGUCCAGCUGGGGGCUCAGAAGCAAGGUAACUGAAGGGAGAGAAUUAUUUGAGCACCUAGUGUGUGUAAGAUGCUUCACAUUUAUUAUUUCACCUAACCUCUACACAACCUGUUGUGGGUAUUACUGGUCUCAAGCUGGGAUUCAAAGCAGGUUUUUCCAACCUCAGAAUUCUUGCCAGACUGAUUAGCCUUCUGCAUCUGGAACAUAAAUGUUUUCAGGCAGCAUAAUGUGCAAGAGGUCAGAGCCUAAAGCUUUGUUAUUUUUUAAUUUCUCCACCAUGUCAACUCUGUUACAGGGAAGCCCAGCAGAGGGAAUUGUAUCCAUUUUGGGGCUACACUACCCCAAUGCUAUGCUGCAGCCAAGCUGAACUUCUAAGUUUCUAAAUGUAACUCACUUACCUUCAGGCCUUUGUACGGGGAGUUCUUUUUGCCUGAAAUACCUUCUGACAUCUUAACAUUACGCUUAGAUGUCAGUUACAAAAAAGCUUUUUCUAGACUCUCUCACAUGUCCCACUCCACACCCCUAUAUCUCUUCCCACCAAUGUACUAGGGUAGGUAUCCUGCUAGGUACUUCCACUGCACCCUCUACUUUUCUUCCCUAAUGAUUACCACUAUAUUGUAAUUGCUUAAUUUCUUUUUCCUAUACCCAGAUAAAAAUGUGUAUGAAGGUGGAGCCUUGUCUAUCUAGUUCGUUAUUGUUAUCCGUGUCUGGUAUGUGGAAAGGGCUCAGUGAGUAUUUCUUGAUGGAAUGCUGAAUGAAUAAUGGGAUUGAAAAUAUAAAAGGCAGACAAAACUUAGAAGAGGGGCCAGGUUUACUUCAAUUGCUAUUCCUCCUCACUGGGAGGUUUUUCUUCCAAGGACAAAACUUUGGAGGUUUUAUUAAAUUAGAAAAGUGAUUAUUUUACAUAUGGUCAUCAUCAUCAAUUGAUAGGCUGUUGUUUCCCCCUUACUCAGCAUCCUACUAAGGCUGCUUAGAACUAAGAAGAAAGGGUAAUUUUAAUUUAAGUUCAUAUUUUUGUAUGUACGGAGAUUUAAAAAAAACAGCUACAUUAAAAUGGGAAUAUGUAGCCAUAGGGAAUUAUUUGCAAACAAAUUUCAGUAUUAUCUAUGUGUGGUUGCCAAGAACUCAGGUUAAAUUAGAGUCAGUGACCUCUAAAUGACUAAAUAUCCUAUCACCUAUUCUAUAAGCCAUUUAAUCACCUCUUUUCAAAGAAGAAGAGCACAAUUGGUAGUAUCUUUAAAGGAAGAUACAUUUUAUUGUUUAGAAAAUAACUACUAUUUAGAUAUCAAGGGAAGCAUAGUGUAAGUUUGUUAAGAAUUUAUUAAUUUUGUGUACUGUUCAUUAGUUACCUCUUACUGCUUAACAAAUGACUCCAAAGUUUAGCACUUUCAAACAACAAACAUUUACUUCACACAGUUCCUGAAGUCAGGAAUCUAAGAGUGGCUUAACAAGGUGGUCUGGCUCAGGGUCUCUCAUGAGGUUCUUACCAAACUAUCAGCUGGGACCACUAUCAUAACCAACUGGGCCUGGAGAAUUUGCUGUCAAGUUCACCCACAUGGCCAGCAGGCAGGCCUCAGUUCCUCACUGGCAGGCGGUGGGAGGCUUCAGUUCCUUGUCACCUGGGCUUCUCCACAGGGCUACUCAUGACAUGCCAAGCUGACUUCCCCCCUUCAUGAAAGAUCUGAGGGAGAGAGAGCCCAAGGCAGAAUCCACAGUCUUGUAUAAGAAAUAAUCUGUAUACUGCCUUCAUCUGUAAAAUGAAGGUGUUGGACCAAAUGAUCUUUAACAUUCUUUCCAAUACUGAAAUUCUGAGAUUUUCCUAUGAUGCCGAUGUGUGAUUGAGACUAAUUUGUGCUUUCAUGUGGAAUACUAUGAGGUAAAAUCCUG
rnacentral:lncRNA from 1 species